rnacentral:rRNA from 1 species
UACGGGGGGGGCAAGCGUUGUUCGGAAUUACUGGGCGUAAAGCGCGUGUAGGCGGCUCUUCAAGUCAGGCGUGAAAGCCCCGGGCUCAACUCGGGAACUGCGCUUGAUACUGUCGAGCUAGAGUGUGGAAGGGGCGAUUGGAAUUCCAGGUGUAGCGGUGAAAUGCGUAGAUAUCUGGAGGAACACCGGUGGCGAAGGCGGCAUCCUGGACCGGUAUUGACGCUGAGGCGCGAAAGCCAGGGGAGCAAACGGG